rnacentral:lncRNA from 1 species
AUUAAAUUUUUAUAGUUUUCAUUAAAACUAUUCAAUGGAUCAGUAAAGAAGCUGUCUCUUUUUGCAGCUAAGUGCUUAUAUAUCAUUGCAAUCCAUCAUUUUCAGCAGGUGUUAUGCACUAUCACACUUGCAAAUUAUUGGUCUCACUGUUUUGACAAAGAUUAAAUUGUAAUGUGUUACUAUUAUAAAGGCCAAAGUCUUUAGUAAAAACAAAUUGUCUAUAUGUUCCUCUCAUAGCUUUUGAACAGAUGCACAAUUCUCUAUAAUUAAUAAAAUUGCCAUCAUGUUUGAUGACAUGGGUUCACAACAGAAUGUGUAUAAAUGUUGAUGUGUGUGUGUGUAUGAAUAUACGUAUGUAUGCAUGAAUGCAUGCAGGCAUGUAUGUAUGUCUGAAUGUAUGAAUGCAUGUAUGCAUAUAAGACACUUCCCAACCAGAUGAUGCUGGGUUCCAUCCCACUGUAUGGCACCUUGGGCAAGUAUCAUCUAUUAUAGCAAUAACCUGAGGUUAACCAGUUUCUUUUGAAUGCAUUUGGUAGAUGGAAACUGAAAUAUGCCCAUGGUAUAAUGAUGAUGAUAUGUAUAUAUUCUCUUAUUGUUUUAUCUGUUUAGUUAUUUGAGUGUGGGCAUGCUGGAGCACUACCAUUAGUCAAACAAAUCGACCCCAGGACUUAUUCUUUGUAAGCCUUUUGUACUUAUUUUAUCGAUCACUUUUGCUGAGCUGCUAAGUAACAGUGGCAUAAACUCACCAAAAUCAGUUGUCAAGUGUCAAGCGAAGGGAGGGGGGACAAACACACACACAUAAAUAUAAACAUACAGAUAUAUAUAUACAACAGGCUUCUUUCACUUUCCAUUUACAAAAUCCAUUCACAAGGCUUUGGUGAGCCUGUGGCUAUAGUAGAAGACACUUGCCUGAGGUGCCAUGCAGUGGGACUGAACCUGGAACCAUGUUGUUGGAAGCGAGCUACUUACCACAGAGCCACUCCUGCACACACACAUAUAUAUGUAUAUAUAGUGAGAAUUUACCAAAAAACAAAAGAUGGGUGUGUAAACAACAAACAGAUAUACUAGUUUAAUGCUCGGGAAGUGAUAAAGUCUUUUAAAUUUCAAGCAUACAUUCUUCAACAGAAAGGAACACAGAAAUAAACAGGGAGAGAAAAUAGAAAAA